UCCUGGAUUGCUCAGCUGCUUAGAGCAUGGUGCUGAUAAGGCCAAGGUUGCGGGUUCAAUCCCUGCGUGGGAA